rnacentral:rRNA from 1 species
GCCAGACUCCUACGGGAGGCAGCAGUAGGGAAUUUUGCGCAAUGGGGGAAACCCUGACGCAGCAACGCCGCGUGAUUGAUGAAGCCCUUCGGGGUGUAAAGAUCUGUCAGUGGGGACGAAACUUGACGGUACCCACAGAGGAAGCAUCGGCUAACUCCGUGCCAGCAGCCGCGGUAAUACGUAGGUGGCAAGCGUUAUCCGGAUUUACUGGGUGUAAAGGGCGUGUAGGCGGGGACGCAAGUCAGAUGUGAAAACCACGGGCUCACCCUGUGGCCUGCAUUUGAAACUGUACUUCUUGAGUGCUGGAGAGGCAAUCGGAAUUCCGUGUGUAGCGGUGAAAUGCGUCGAUAUACGGAGGAACACCAGUGGCGAAGGCGGAUUGCUGGACAGUAACUGACGCUGAGGCGCGAAAGCGUGGGGAGCAAACAGGAUUAGAUACCCGGGUAA